GACGAACGCUGGCGGCGUGCCUAAUACAUGCAAGUAGGACGCAGUUGCGAACGGGUGAGUAACGCGUAGGUAACUGCCUAUUAGAGGGGGAUAACUAUUGGAAACGAUCGCUAAUACCGCAUCCUAGUAGAUGGACCUGCGUUGUAUUAGCUAGUAGGUUGGGUAGUGGCCUACCUAGGCGACGAUACAUAGCCGACCGUGGAGGGGGAGCGGCCACACUGGGACGUAGACACGGCGCGGACGCCGACGGGAGGCAGCAGGAGGGAAGCUGCGGCAAUGGGGGGAACGGCGACCUAGCAACGCCGCGUGAGUGAAGAGGGUUUGCGGAGCGGAAAGCUGUAGUGGUAAGGAAAGGGUAGCGAGCCAGAAGGGGACGGCUAACUACGUGCCAGCAGCCGCGGUAAUAC
rnacentral:rRNA from 1 species